UACGUAGGGUGCAAGCGUUAAUCGGAAUUACUGGGCGUAAAGCGUGCGCAGGCGGCUUUGCAAGACAGAUGUGAAAUCCCCCGGGCUUAACCUGGGAACUGCAUUUGUGACUGCAUGGCUGGAGUGCGGCAGAGGGGGGAUGGAAUUCCGCGUGUAGCAGUGAAAUGCGUAGAUAUGCGGAGGAACACCGAUGGCGAAGGCAAUCCCCUGGGCCUGCACUG
rnacentral:rRNA from 1 species